CACGUAGGGCGCAAGCGUUGUCCGGAAUUAUUGGGCGUAAAGAGCUCGUAGGCGGUUUGUCGCGUCGGCUGUGAAAACUCGGGGCUCAACCCCGAGCCUGCAGUCGAUACGGGCAGACUAGAGUGCUGUAGGGGAGACUGGAAUUCCUGGUGUAGCGGUGAAAUGCGCAGAUAUCAGGAGGAACACCGGUGGCGAAGGCGGGUCUCUGGGCAGUAACUGACGCUGAGGAGCGAAAGCGUGGGGAGCGAACAGG
rnacentral:rRNA from 1 species